CUACGCAACAAGGAAAGGAAUAUCCUUUUGGGCACUAUUAAAUAUUUAAUCUGAUUUUAUUAAGAAGAUGAUCAGUAUGUGAAGCUUUCUUUGUCUUGAAUGUGAUUUUGACUUGCACACUUUAGCUCUAGGCUACAUGCCAAACUAGGACUAGACUCACUCUCCCUAUAUCUAGCUGUAAGACAAUGCUGAAGGCAUCGGGUUUGCUGAUUUUAAGUAGGUAACAACGAUGGCGAAGAAGAACACACCAAGAAUUUCACCCUCCCACUUUUUGGGGGUUGUGGUUUUUUCUCUAUGCUUCUUCGUUCCAAAAUCUGUGUUGGGUGUGAAAAAAGAGCUGCGAUUUAGAAAAAAUGGAGAGUUCAAGAUACUGCAAGUGGCAGAUAUGCACUUUGCGGAUGGCAAGACCACGUCUUGCCUCGAUGUGUUCCCAAAUCAGAUGCCUACUUGCUCUGACCUCAACACCACUGCCUUUGUUGAGCGCAUGAUUCAAGCUGAGAAGCCCGAUUUUAUUGUUUUCACUGGGGAUAACAUCUUUGGCUUUGAUGCCACGGAUGCUGCAAAAUCACUGAGUGCUGCAUUUCAGCCUGCAAUUGCAUCAAACAUCCCGUGGGCUGCUAUUUUGGGGAACCAUGACCAAGAAUCCACUUUGUCAAGGGAAGGGGUAAUGAAACAUAUUGUUGGCCUUAAGAAUACUCUCUCUCAAGUCAAUCCUGCGGAGGUACACAUCAUUGAUGGUUUUGGGAACUAUAACCUGGAGAUUGGCGGGGUUAAAGGUUCACGAUUUGAAAAUAAAUCAGCUCUUAAUCUUUAUUUCCUUGAUAGCGGAGACUACUCCACAGUCCCGGCAAUCCCUGGCUAUGGUUGGAUUAAACCCUCGCAGCAGCUUUGGUUCCAACGCACCUCUGCGAAGCUUCGGAGAGCAUACAUGAGACAGCCAGAGGCUCAGAAAGGACCUGCACCUGGGCUGGUGUACUUUCACAUCCCAUUGCCUGAAUUUGCAAGUUUUGAUUCAUCAAACUUCACAGGAGUGAGACAAGAAGGCAUUAGCUCUGCUUCUGUGAACUCGGGCUUCUUCACAACCAUGGUAGAAGCUGGGGAUGUGAAAGGUGUUUUCACCGGACAUGAUCAUCUCAAUGACUUCUGUGGUGAGCUUACUGGUAUACAACUUUGUUAUGCUGGGGGUUUUGGAUACCAUGCCUAUGGGAAGGCAGGGUGGUCAAGGAGAGCGAGGGUGGUGCUGGCAUCUUUGGAAAAGACAGAGCAAGGAGGUUGGGGAGCUGUCAAGUCUAUCAAAACAUGGAAGCGCCUUGAUGAUGAACACCUUACCACUGUAGAUGGUCAGGUCCUUUGGAGCAAGAGCCAUGCAGAUGUUUCGUAUUUAAGCAACAAAGUACAUAAGACAUUGGAAAUGCGUGCAGUGCUAGGUUGUUCACUUUUGCUUUAUGCCGCCAAAAAUCAUGCUUGAUUUUCUCUCUGCCCCGUUCACUUGAUUAUGAAAAGAUAUAUCCCAGGAACACGGUUUCCCCUGCUCUAUCUCAUUUCAUACCAAAGAGUCCGUAGAAAGAAACAGGUUGGCAGCCCUGAGUAGCGAGCACAUGAGAUGGCUUGACACCGAGGAAGUAAGAAGCGGAAAUGUUUCACAUAUUUGUGACCUUAUUCAUCGAUUUUGAUACACGUGUCCUCGAAAUAGUAUAAUUUGGUAAUGUAUCUAUAAAACACGAAAUUUAAAGUUGUUGCUAAUGUAAAACACAACAUUUCAAAAAAAAUUUAUUAAAUGAGUUGGCAUAAAUUACAAUAAAAAAAGGGACUUUGAAGGCA